rnacentral:rRNA from 1 species
GACGAAGGGGGCUAGCGUUGUUCGGAAUUACUGGGCGUAAAGGGCGCGCAGGCGGUCUUGCAAGUCGGGCGUUAAAGACCUGGGCUUAACCCGGGGAAUGCGUUCGAUACUGCAAGGCUUGAGAUCGAGAGAGGAGAGUGGAAUUCCCAGUGUAGAGGUGAAAUUCGUAGAUAUUGGGAAGAACACCGGUGGCGAAGGCGGCUCUCUGGCUCGAUUCUGACGCUGAGGCGCGAAAGCGUGGGGAGCAAACAGG